rnacentral:sRNA from 1 species
GACUCGGCGGCGGCGUCUUUUGUGAGUUCAUCCACAGAUCCUGGUCCCUACAAAUAAGCCUGCUCAUGUGAGAUAAGAAAGGAGUUCCUGGAACCAGGAAUUCAUUCUCAGUGUAGAAGACCUAGCUGAGACCUCACUCCACAGUUUUGGGGCAGAAGCAGAAGAGACGCACAGUAGAACCGAUCUCAGCCUUGCUGAUCAUCUCGUACAGCAGCAGAAAAUGACCAUGUUACAGGAGUCAUUCUCAUUUGACGAUUUAUCUGUGGACUUCACCCAAAAGGAGUGGCAGCUACUGGAUCCCUCUCAGAAGAAUUUAUACAAGGAUGUGAUGUUGGAGAACUAUAGCAGCCUAGUGUCACUGGGUAAUAAAAGCUUUCUCGAGGACCUUGGACUAUGCCUAAUGCAUUGCCUUUUAUUUUUAAUUGCUGGGAAGUUUCAGAAGCCUAUAGCUAGGCGUCUGAAAUUUUUAAUGAUUUUAGACCUGAAACUUAGAUCACAGUUGCUUGGACUAUGACACCAAGAAAGUAUUUGGGUCUCACCUUUCAAUAAUGAAGUCGUAAGUUUGUUAUGCAGCCUCUGAAACUUAAGUAGUAAUAGUUUGAGUAAUAGUUUGAGCAGUAAUGGUAGUACCUAAUGCAUAUAACUUACU